rnacentral:rRNA from 1 species
UACGUAGGGACCAAGCGUUGUUCGGAUUUACUGGGCGUAAAGGGUGCGUAGGCGGUUCGCUAAGUUGGAUGUGAAAACUCUGGGCUCAACCCAGAGCCUGCAUCCAAUACUGACGAGCUAGAGUUCUGGAGGGGGUAGCGGAAUUCCUGGUGUAGCGGUGAAAUGCGUAGAUAUCAGGAGGAACACCGGUGGCGAAGGCGGCUACCUGGACAGAGUCUGACGCUGAGGCACGAAAGCUAGGGGAGCAAACAGG